rnacentral:rRNA from 1 species
AGAGUUUGAUCAUGGCUCAGAACGAACGCUGGCGGCAGGCCUUAUACAUGCAAGUCGAGCGCAUCCUUCGGGAUGAGCGGCGGACGGGUGAGUAACGCGUGGGAAUGUGCCCUUCUCUACGGAAUAGCCACUGGAAACGGUGAGUAAUACCGUAUACGCCCUUAGGGGGAAAGAUUUAUCGGAGAAGGAUCAGCCCGCGUUAGAUUAGGUAGUUGGCGGGGUAACGGCCUACCAAGCCUACGAUCUAUAGCUGGUUUUAGAGGAUGAUCAGCCACACUGGGACUGAGACACGGCCCAGACUCCUACGGGAGGCAGCAGUAGGGAAUCUUGGACAAUGGGGGAAACCCUGAUCCAGCCAUGCCGCGUGAGUGAAGAAGGCCUUAGGGUCGUAAAGCUCUUUCGCCUGUGAUGAUAAUGACAGUAGCAGGUAAAGAAACCCCGGCUAACUCCGUGCCAGCAGCCGCGGUAAUACGGAGGGGGUUAGCGUUGUUCGGAAUUACUGGGCGUAAAGCGCGCGUAGGCGGAUUGGAAAGUUGGGGGUGAAAUCCCGGGGCUCAACCCCGGAACUGCCUCCAAAACUGCCAGUCUAGAGUUCGAGAGAGGUGAGUGGAACUCCAAGUGUAGAGGUGAAAUUCGUAGAUAUUUGGAAGAACACCAGUGGCGAAAGCGGCUCACUGGCUCGAUACUGACGCUG